rnacentral:misc_RNA from 1 species
GGGAGUGAUGUAUUUGUGAUUUGAAGCUUGGAUUGGGUGGAAUUUGAGAGAUAUGGGGUUUUGAGGCUUGUGGCGGAUUUUGAAGAUUGUCGGUAGGGAAGAAGGAAGGAGAUGACAGUGAAAUGAGGGUUGGAUUUGGAUGGAGCUUUUGAAGUUUUGUGCUGCCAUGGUCAUCUCCUCCCUUAAAUGUUGAAGUGUUUGCACAAAGAGAACAUGAGGAGAGGCAGGU